rnacentral:rRNA from 1 species
AUUGAACGCUGGCGGCAGGCCUAACACAUGCAAGUCGAACGAGUGGCGGACGGGUGAGUAAUGUCUGGGAAACUGCCCGAUGGCGGGGGAUAACUACUGGAAACGGUAGCUAAUACCGCAUACCAUCGGAUGUGCCCAGAUGGGAUUAGCUAGUAGGUGGGGUAACGGCUCACCUAGUCGACGAUCCCUAGCUGGUCUGAGAGGAUGACCAGCAACACUGGAACUGAGACACGGUCAAGACUCCGACGUGCGGCAGCAGUGGGGAAUAGUGCACAAUGGGCGCAAGCCUGAUGCAGCCAUGCCGCGUGUAUGAAGAAGGCAUUCGGGUUGUAAAGUACUUUCAGCGAGGAGGCGUUACUCGCAGAAGAAGCACAGGCUAACUCCGUGCCAGCAGCCGCGGUAAUAC